rnacentral:miRNA from 1 species
UACGAUAAUGUCUGUGGCUCAGA